GAGUGACUGUUAGCUGGCUUUUCGAAGCAUGUGCUCGUCCAUCAUCUUUAUCUCUCCACCUGGUGCACAUUUUGUAGUCUUGGAUACCUCUCGAGGAAACUCGGAUUUUAGGAUCGCCGUGCUGUACAAGUCGGCUUUUCUUUCAUUUCCAAGACUAUGUUUUUAUAUACACCAAAGUAUGUUUAUAGAAUGUCAUCAAUGGGAACUUGUUUCCUAUAAAAUUAUACAACUUUCAGCAACGGAUCUCUUGGCUCUCGCAUCGAUGAAGAACGCAGCGAAAUGCGAUAAGUAAUGUGAAUUGCAGAAUUCAGUGAAUCAUCGAAUCUUUGAACGCACCUUGCGCUCCUUGGUAUUCCGAGGAGCAUGCCUGUUUGAGUGUCAUUAAAUUCUCAACCUUCCAACUUUUAUUAGCUUGGUUAGGCUUGGAUGUGGGGGUUGCAGGCUUCAUCACUGAGGUCGGCUCUCCUUAAAUGCAUUAGCGGAACUUUUGUGGACCGUCUAUUGGUGUGAUAAUUAUCUACGCCGUGGAUGUGAAGCAGCUUUAUGAAGUUCUGCUUCUAACCGUCCAUUGACUUGGACAAUUUUGACAAUUUGACCUCAAAUCAGGUAGGACUACCCGCUGAACUUAAGCAUAUCAAUAAGCGGAGGA
rnacentral:rRNA from 1 species